UGCAGUCGAGCGAGACCUUCGGGUCUAGCGGCGGACGGGUUAGUAACGCGUGGGAAUAUACCCUUCACUACGGAAUAGCCUCGGGAAACUGGGAGUAAUACCGUAUACGCCCUUUUGGGGAAAGAUUUAUCGGUGAAGGAUUAGCCCGCGUCUGAUUAGAUAGUUGGUGGGGUAAUGGCCUACCAAGUCUACGAUCAGUAGCUGGUUUGAGAGGAUGAUCAGCAACACUGGGACUGAGACACGGCCCAGACUCCUACGGGAGGCAGCAGUGGGGAAUCUUAGACAAUGGGCGCAAGCCUGAUCUAGCCAUGCCGCGUGAGUGACGAAGGCCUUAGGGUCGUAAAGCUCUUUCGCCAGAGAUGAUAAUGACAGUAUCUGGUAAAGAAACCCCGGCUAACUCCGUGCCAGCAGCCGCGGUAAUACGGAGGGGGUUAGCGUUGUUCGGAAUUACUGGGCGUAAAGCGCACGUAGGCGGAUUGGAAAGUAUGGGGUGAAAUCCCAGGGCUCAACCCUGGAACUGCCUUGUAAACUCCCAGUCUAGAGUUCGAGAGAGGUGAGUGGAAUUCCAAGUGUAGAGGUGAAAUUCGUAGAUAUUUGGAGGAACACCAGUGGCGAAGGCGGCUCACUGGCUCGAUACUGACGCUGAGGUGCGAAAGUGUGGGGAGCAAACAGGAUUAGAUACCCUGGUAGUCC
rnacentral:rRNA from 1 species